rnacentral:rRNA from 1 species
UACAGAGGUCUCAAGCGUUGUUCGGAUUCAUUGGGCGUAAAGGGUGUGUAGGUGGCGCGCUAAGUCGGGUGUGAAAUUUCGGAGCUUAACUCCGAAACUGCAUUCGAUACUGGCGUGCUUGAGGACUGGAGAGGAGACUGGAAUUCAUGGUGUAGCAGUGAAAUGCGCAGAUAUCAGGAGGAACACCGGUGGCGAAGGCGGAUCUCUGGGCCAUUACUGACGCUGAGGAGCGAAAGCGUGGGGAGCGAACAGG